rnacentral:sRNA from 2 species
AGCUAGACCCGAUUGAAGUGGACAUCCUGAUCCUUCAUCAGGAUAAAACGGAAAGCGGGAAGAAAC